UUACCGUACGAUCACGGAAGUUAAGCAACGUCGAGCCUGGUCAGUACCUAGAUAGGUGGCCGCUUGGGAAUACCAGGUACU